UACGGAGGGGGGCUAGCGUUGUUCGGAAUUACUGGGCGUAAAGCGCGCGUAGGCGGCUUUGUAAGUUAGAGGUGAAAGCCCAGGGCUCAACCCUGGAAUUGCCUUUAAGACUGCAUCGCUUGAACAUCGGAGAGGUAAGUGGAAUUCCGAGUGUAGAGGUGAAAUUCGUAGAUAUUCGGAAGAACACCAGUGGCGAAGGCGACUUACUGGACGAUUGUUGACGCUGAGGUGCGAAAGCGUGGGGAGCAAACAGG
rnacentral:rRNA from 1 species